UUACUGUUGUCACAAUACAGUCAACCCUCGUUUUUCGCGGGGGUUGCGUUCCGAAAAGAACCCGUGAAAGGCAAAAUCCGUGAAGUAGUUACCUUUAUUUUUUACAAUUAUUAUACAGCAUAAUUAAAUACUCUACAUUGAAA